rnacentral:lncRNA from 1 species
UCUAAAUAAAUUCUUUUCUUUGCAGGGCAGAAUCAGAGAAUCACAGAAUGGUUUGGGUUGGAAGAGACACUAAAGCCUACCCAGUGCCAACACCUUGCCGUGGGCAGGGCUGCCACCCACUGGGUCAGACUGCCCAGGGCCCCAUCCAACCUGGCCUUGAGGGCCUCCAGGCCUGAGGCACCCACAGCUUCUCUGGGCAGCCUGUGCCAAGGCCUCGCUGCCUUCUAAAUCUGUAUCAGAAUCUAUAUGCAUUCUUUAGACUUAUUUUUCUACCUGUUAACCAUGCAAUUCUUCUAUCUCAUUCUGUGUUAAUUGGCAGUAACAUCUACAGUCAUCUGAAACUUUUGAAAACAGACUAUUUCUCACAAGAAAUCAAAGUCUUCUUACUUCAUGUGGAAAAUCUUCUUACUUCAUGUGAAUACAGAUCAGUCAUGAUGGCAUUUCCUGGCUCAGAGAGGACCCUAGAACACUGCAGGAUAAGUGCUGUUUCCUGCACUGGCACACCCAACACUUUCUGCCAUGCCCCCAAGCCCAAGCAGGAUUUGUCUUUCAGUUCUCUGAAAGGGAUCUCAAUGAAGCAAUUAAUAUCAAACUGAAUGACUGACCGACCAUCUGCCAAUUCCAGCACAUUCAAUACAAAUGAUGCUUUAUUCAAAUGCAGAGUCAAAGUACAGAGUCUGCCAUCAGAAGAACUGAUUUAGUUCAGAUGGGAAGGCAAGAAUUAUAUGUAAUUAUACAUGCAGUGAAACCUGCUCGCAUAAGACUUUGAUGCAGUAAAGUCUUUUUCUGCUGCACUAAAGGAGAAAAGAUAACAGAAAUCUUUCAAUAAAUUGCACUGUGUAAGAUUCA